AAGUGUCUUUGAUAUCUGCAACAGAUUACAAGAUUUCUCAUUAUGUUGCUGCACAGUUUUAGGACAUCCAAAAUUUGUGUUUUCCUUUCCCCUGUAGUGGUCUAUCUCCAAGCAUGCACUUGUAUAUUCAGCUAGCUUAACUGCUUACUGUUUUGGGGUUGAUAAGCUCAGCUGCGGCAUUGAUGACAGUGAGAAGCCACAAUUCCCAGCCAUCAGGGAAUUUCGAGAAGAAAUUUAGUGUAGUGUUUGCAGAAAUUAUUACCUGAGGUUUCUUAAAAACUGAUGUUAUAUAAUGCUACAGGUCUCUGUUCAAGGAUCCCAUGCACUGGUGCACUUUUAUUGGCACUUGCUCUUCACUUGCGUUCUUCUCUGCUGUCUUGAUACUGUCAACCAUUCAAACUUGCAGGGAAAAGUUUGUUUUCCUUGUCUCCGCAUCUUUGGUCUUCUUAAUAUAACCAAAGUGGGAAUCAAACUUCACUCCUUCCAUUUUGAUUCAUUGGAUUGGGUAAUUGUCAUCCAAAUAGCAGCAUUUGGUGAGAGGUUGCAGCAGAUGUUUUAUCAGUAUCUAGAGAGCCAAGAUUCCUUCAUCUCGUUGUUUGCUGAAAAAUGUUUCAGACCUUAUUGGGCUGCAGAAUUGUUUGGUAUGACCUCUAUCCUUUGGUAUUUUGUGAAUGUUUUCAAGGUUUGAAUUUUUUUCUUCUUUUCCAUAUAAUUGUAUACACUAGUAAAUACUUAUUGAGUUUUAUUUGAAUUAUUUAUUUUAUUUA